rnacentral:lncRNA from 1 species
CCCAGAUGUCCACCCUGCCUUUUCCCUGACUUCCUCCAUCCUGUCCAGCAGGAUGGGCUGGUCAGUGGGACAGCCUCUGUGCACAUUUUGUGGCAAGUAGGAGUGACACAUCAUUCCUGGGAGGCCCCGUGGUUCCUGCCAAACCCAACCCCAGAAUUCUCCCUGAGGUGGUUUUACCAAACCCAUAACCCAGAACUGCUAUUGUGGUUUGGGGGUCAGCACCCACCAGUGCCAGGGCACUACUGGGAGGCUGGGACCUGACCAAAGCCCAUGGUGUCUGUGGCCUGAGGACAGGGUGUCUUGGGGCCAUGAGGACAGGCCACCAAUGGCCGUUGGGUCAUAGGGCCUGAGCCCCAGUGUUUGUCCUUCCCUGGCUCCUUCUGGUUCAGUCCCAUCAGGGCUCUGGAUCCCAAGACGCAGCAUCCAAUGUUCCCUCCAGGAAUCCUGGUGGCUUGGCUUACUUUGUCAUGUUUCAUCUGAUAGCAAAAAUAUCAGAUCGGCUGCACAGAAAAAAUGGCUCAAAGUGCUUAAUGACCAGAAGAAAUCUAGGAGCAGCAAGAAGGUAAUGUGGAGAGGGGAGGACCUCCAUGACCGGUGUCUAUAGAGCCAGGGGUACAGGCACCCAGUGCAGUGACCUGGUACCACCUGCCUCUCAGAGGGUGGGGAGCACACCGUCCUUACCUGGGGGACAGCAGGCCUGGUCACCAGCUUUUCUCCCUGUCCCUGCAAGCAUCACAUUGCUGGAAGAGAAUCUCAUUUCAGAGCUUGGACCAUCCCUAGCUUGGGGGUUAGGGGUUGUCUCUUGGUGACCUAAAUGAAAAAAUAGGUCCAGAUCAGAGUUCCUGAUGCAUAGCACUCACCCACUCUUUGAAUCAUGGGAGGGGAGGCCUAGUCCUAGGUAAACCUAAACUCUUUGAGGAACCACAGAGCCCAAGGCUGGAAACCUCCAGAAUCCUCCAGCCCCCGAUCCUCCGCGGGGACCGCUGUGGCCUGUCUCACCAGAGCACUCUUCUGUCUGUAGAUGCCUCAGCUGCUCUACAAGGGAGUCCCAUUUCAGGUGUGGGGCUGGGUAUGGUCAUUCCUGCUGGAUGUCUAGAAGGUGAAAAACAAGGACCUAGGAAAAUACCAGAUACAGCAUUUCCACCGUCAUCCAGAGCAGGACAAACACGCCAGGUGGUGUCAGGAGCCUAGGUCUCCAGCUGGAGGGAACGUCAACCCUGCAGUGGGAGCCCAUCAUGCAUCCUAGGCACAGAUGCUAAUGUAGGCACCGCAGACCAUAAAGGAAAACAGCAAGAGGUCCCCAGCAAACAUCUACAGAUGGCCCUGGACAUCAGCCACAUUCGGAGAAACAUGUCAUGUUCUGGGAGGGCUAAGGCAUCGAGUAAGGCCUAUGGGGCUGGAGGAUCCCAGGGCAGGUGGGGCAAUCCAGAGCUGUGGGGGCUUCUGUGGGAAUUGGGAGGUCCCAAGGCAGAGGUAGGGGUUCCACAGGAGGAGUCACAGAGCCACCAAGGGUUCUCUUGGCCCAGGGAGCAGUCAACACCAUGGACUGAACACCCACUGGGCUAAGCCCUGGGCCAGGCUGGGGCAUGUGGGGCCAGGAGGCAGCUCAGAGUGGGAGACAGAGAGACAAGUGUGCUCAGAGGGCACCCGUAUCUGCAUAUAACGUGGUCCUGAGUUUCUGCCUGGGAAGUGCUUCCAGGGUUUCAUAUG